UUAGGCAUCAAUCUCAGCGGUAAUGACACCACCACUGAAUGGAAAAUCUGUCUCAUUUCGUGACAUCUCAAACAAAAGAGCUUUCGUAGCAGAGGACAGUUUCAUUAAAGCCUCCACGGCAGUGAAUCUACAAUGGUGAAAGAGUUCAGAUUCAUGUGUUCAAAUGUAACUCACAGUCUGUAUGCGUCUGUGAUCGUCGGGGAUGAGGGUGAGGAGUUUCUCAGUGAGCAGGGAGACCAGCGAGGACGGCGUCUGUGGCAGA